UACGUAGGGGGCAAGCGUUGUCCGGAAUUAUUGGGCGUAAAGAGCUCGUAGGUGGUUUGUCGCGUUGUUCGUGAAAACUCACAGCUCAACUGUGGGCGUGCGGGCGAUACGGGCAGACUGGAGUACUGCAGGGGAGACUGGAAUUCCUGGUGUAGCGGUGGAAUGCGCAGAUAUCAGGAGGAACACCGGUGGCGAAGGCGGGUCUCUGGGCAGUAACUGACGCUGAGGAGCGAAAGCGUGGGGAGCAACAGG
rnacentral:rRNA from 1 species